rnacentral:tRNA from 1 species
GGGCAGUUACCUAAGCGGUCAAAAGGGACGCGCUGUAGACGCGUUGGCUUCGGCCUUCGGGGGUUCGAAUCCCUCACUGCCCACCA